GAAUAUUGGACAAUGGGCGAAAGCCUGAUCCAGCAAUGCCGCGUGCAGGAAGAAGGCCUUCGGGUUGUAAACUGCUUUUGUACGGAACGGAACACUUUGGGUUAAUACCCAGUAGUCAUGACGGUACCGUCAGAAUAAGCACCGGCUAACUACGUGCCCGCACCCGCGGUAAUACGUAGGGUGCAAGCGUUAAUCGGAAUUACUGGGCUUGAAGCGUGCGCAGGCGGUUUUGUAAGACAGAGGUGAAAUCGCCGGGCUCCUCCUGGGAACUGCCUGUGUGACUGCAAGGCUAGAGUACGGCAGAGGGGGGUGGAAUUCCGCGUGUAGCAGUGAAAUGCGUAGAUAUGCGGAGGAACACCGAUGGCGAAGGCAACCCCCUGGGCCUGUACUGACGCUCAUGCACGAAAGCGUGGGGAGCAAAC
rnacentral:rRNA from 1 species